rnacentral:rRNA from 1 species
UGGGGAAUAUUGCACAAUGGGCGAAAGCCUGAUGCAGCAACGCCGCGUGAGUGAUGAAGGUCUUCGGAUUGUAAAGCUCUGUCUUUUGGGACGAUAAUGACGGUACCAAAGGAGGAAGCCACGGCUAACUACGUGCCAGCAGCCGCGGUAAUACGUAGGUGGCGAGCGUUGUCCGGAUUUACUGGGCGUAAAGGGUGCGUAGGCGGAUGUUUAAGUGAGAUGUGAAAUACCCGGGCUUAACUUGGGUGCUGCAUUUCAAACUGGAUAUCUAGAGUGCAGGAGAGGAGAAUGGAAUUCCUAGUGUAGCGGUGAAAUGCGUAGAGAUUAGGAAGAACACCAGUGGCGAAGGCGAUUCUCUGGACUGUAACUGACGCUGAGGCACGAAAGCGUGGGUAGCAAACAGGAUUAGAUACCCUGGUAGUCCACGCCGUAAACGAUGAGUACUAGGUGUAGGAGGUAUCGACCCCUUCUGUGCCGCAGUAAACACAUUAAGUACUCCGCCUGGGAAGCACGAUCGCAAGAUUAAAAAC